rnacentral:rRNA from 1 species
CCUACGGGAGGCAGCAGUGGGGAAUAUUGGACAAUGGGGGCAACCCUGAUCCAGCCAUGCCGCGUGUGUGAAGAAGGCCCUCGGGUUGUAAAGCACUUUCAGUGAGGAAGAACGCCUGGUGGUUAAUACCCAUCAGGAAAGACAUCACUCACAGAAGAAGCACCGGCUAACUCCGUGCCAGCAGCCGCGGUAAUACGGAGGGUGCGAGCGUUAAUCGGAAUUACUGGGCGUAAAGCGCGCGUAGGUGGCUUGAUAAGCCGGUUGUGAAAGCCCCGGGCUCAACCUGGGAACGGCAUCCGGAACUGUCAAGCUAGAGUGCAGGAGAGGAAGGUAGAAUUCCCGGUGUAGCGGUGAAAUGCGUAGAGAUCGGGAGGAAUACCAGUGGCGAUGGCGGCCUUCUGGACUGACACUGACACUGAGGUGCGAAAGCGUGGGUAGCAAACAGGAUUAGAUACCCUAGUAGUC